GUAAUUUUACGUUGUAUAAUAUAUGAACAGUACGUUGAUUAAAAUAAAAACUGAUAGCCGCAAAACAUCAUAUUAUAUAUUUUAUUUGUAUUUUACUUUUGUAAAUUUGAUUCUCAUUUAUUUUUACACGUUAUAUUCAUAUCGAGUACAAUAAAAGUAGUAUGUCUAUGGAAAAGAUAUAAAAAAGAGUGGCCAGCUGUUGCCAAAAGUUAACCGCAAAAUAAUACUGUAAAAUAUUCAGAAGCUUAUUAAAUACAAUGUAGUAACAUCAGCACGAUCGUAUCAUAAGCAGUGAUUUUGGCCAUACAAUAGCAAAUUUUAUUUUACCUGGGGUAUUUUCGGAAUCAGCACUACUUUUUACCUUUACAUAAAGAAUAUUUCGAACUAGUCAUCUACACCUUAGACUUUGUGUAUAAUUAAGUGCCUUCGUGUGAUAUCCACUAGAUAUACUAUGCAAGAGUAAUGUUUAAUUGAGUUAUCUUCAUUUUCUGCAGCCUCCGUCGAAGAAAAACCCAGUGACUAGUAAACCAGACUGUCCAGUGACUACACUGCCAUCCAUGUCUAGAAUGUUCAGCAAACAGAUUGCAUACAGAGUACCAGAUUAUAGCCAACUGUGUAUCACUCGUCUUUAAAUAAAGUGUUCUACGCA